rnacentral:tRNA from 1 species
AAGGCCUUAGCUUAAUUAAAGUGUCUGAUUUGCAUUUAGAAGAUGUGGGGUAAAGUCCUGCAGGUCUUAA